UUACUUAUAUAAAUGUUCAGCCUAGAGAAACAUUUAUCGGCAUGUUUAUACUAAUUUUUAAUAACUAUUUUUUUUUGAAAAAAAAACAAUAAGAUUUAAUAUUUUUAGAAUGCUGUGAACUCGGUGUACAAUUACUACUUGUCAAAAUAGCCUAGAAAAGGCUAAAAAUUUGGAAAAAUUUCAUGCUUUCCCGAAGAAUACCGAAAUUACUCAAAUAUGGGUGCAGAUUCAAAGGGUGUAGAGUUGUAGAGAUGGAAAAUGGAAUGUAGAAACUUGUAGGAUUUGUUCAGAUCAUUUUACCGAUGACGAUUAUGAAAGAGAUCUUCAAGUAAGAGGAAUUAUUAGGACUUGGAAACUAAGAAAAACAUUAAAAGCAAUUGUUAUAUAGGUAUGAGUAGAAUCUUAUGUAAAAG